GGAGAGGUGGCCGAGUGGUUGAAGGCGCACGCCUGGAACGCGUGUGUAGGUCACAAGCCUACCGAGAGUUCGAAUCUCUCUCUCUCCGCCA
rnacentral:tRNA from 4 species